UACGUAGGGUGCGAGCGUUGUCCGGAAUUAUUGGGCGUAAAGAGCUUGUAGGCGGUUUGUCGCGUCUGCUGUGAAAAUCCGGGGCUCAACCCCGGACUUGCAGUGGGUACGGGCAGACUAGAGUGCGGUAGGGGUGACUGGAAUUCCUGGUGUAGCGGUGGAAUGCGCAGAUAUCAGGAGGAACACCGAUGGCGAAGGCAGGUCACUGGGCCGCAACUGACGCUGAGGAGCGAAAGCAUGGGGAGCAAACAGG
rnacentral:rRNA from 1 species